GACGAACGCUGGCGGCGUGCUUAACACAUGCAAGUCGAACGGAGUGGCGAACGGGUGAGUAUUACGUGAGUAACCUGCCCUCAACUGUGGGAUAAGCCUGGGAAACUUGGUCUAAUACUGCAUAGUUGGGGAUGGGCUCGCGGCCUAUCAGCUUGUGGGUGGGGGGGUGGCCUACCGAGGCGGUGACGGGUAGACGGCCUGGGGGGGUGGUCGUCCACAUUGGGCGGGGGAGACGGCCACGAGUCCUACGGGAGGCAGCAGUGGGGGAUAGUGGACAAUGGGCGGAAGCCUGAUGCAGCGACGCCGCGUGGGGGAUGAAGGCUUUCGGGUUGUAAACCUCUUUCGGUACAGAACGGGGAUGUGCAGAAGAAGCGCCGGCUAACUACGUGCCAGCAGCCGCGGUAAUAC
rnacentral:rRNA from 1 species